rnacentral:tRNA from 1 species
GCCGGUGUAGCUCAGUCGGUAGAGCAGCGCACUCGUAACGCGCAGGUCAUCGGUUCGAGUCCGAUCACCGGCUCCA